rnacentral:rRNA from 1 species
AUGAACGCUAGCGGCAGGCUUAACACAUGCAAGUCGAGGGGCAGCGGAGCGGAGUGCUUGCACUCUGCUGCCGGCGACCGGCGCACGGGUGAGUAACACGUAUGCAACCUGCCCCGGAGCGGGGGAUAACCCGGCGAAAGCCGGACUAAUACCGCGUAUAUAUCCAGGAGGCAUCUUCUGGAUAGGAAAGGACUUCGGUCCGCUCCGGGAUGGGCAUGCGGCGCAUUAGGCAGACGGCGGGGUAACGGCCCACCGUACCGACGAUGCGUAGGGGUUCUGAGAGGAAGGCCCCCCACACUGGUACUGAGACACGGACCAGACUCCUACGGGAGGCAGCAGUGAGGAAUAUUGGUCAAUGGGCGAGAGCCUGAACCAGCCAAGCCGCGUGAGGGAAGAAGGCGCUCAGCGUCGUAAACCUCUUUAGCCGGGGGACAAAACCUCCUCGCGAAGGAGGCUUGAGAGUACCCGGAGAAUAAGCAUCGGCUAACUCCGUGCCAGCAGCCGCGGUAAUACGGAGGAUGCGAGCGUUAUCCGGAUUUAUUGGGUUUAAAGGGUGCGCAGGCGGACAUUCAAGUCUGCGGUCAAAUUCCGGGGCUCAACCCCGGCCAGCCGUGGAAACUGAAUGACUUGAGUGGGCGAGAGGUAUGCGGAAUGCGCGGUGUAGCGGUGAAAUGCUUAGAGAUCGCGCAGAACUCCGAUUGCGAAGGCAGCAUACCGGCGCCUUACUGACGCUCAGGCACGAAAGCGUGGGGAUCGAACAGGAUUAGAUACCCUGGUAGUCCACGCAGUAAACGAUGAAUGCUGGUUGUUCGGGCCGACUGAGGCCUGAGUAACGUAGUGAAAACGUUAAGCAUUCCACCUGGGGAGUACGCCGGCAACGGUGAAACUCAAAGGAAUUGACGGGGGCCCGCACAAGCGGUGGAGUAUGUGGUUUAAUUCGAAGCAACGCGAAGAACCUUACCAGGUCUUGACAUCCGAUGCAUAGCGCAGAGAUGCGUGAAGUCCUUCGGGACAUCGAGACAGGUGGUGCAUGGUUGUCGUCAGCUCGUGCCGUGAGGUGUCGGCUUAAGUGCCAUAACGAGCGCAACCCCUGCGGACAGUUGCCAUCAGGUAGAGCUGGGCACUCUGUCCGGACUGCCGGCGCAAGCCGUGAGGAAGGCGGGGAUGACGUCAAAUCAGCACGGCCCUUACGUCCGGGGCGACACACGUGUUACAAUGGGCGGCACAGCGGGAAGCCAGGUGGUGACACCGAGCAGAACCCGAAAGCCGUUCUCAGUUCGGAUCGGAGUCUGCAACCCGACUCCGUGAAGCUGGAUUCGCUAGUAAUCGCGCAUCAGCCAUGGCGCGGUGAAUACGUUCCCGGGCCUUGUACACACCGCCCGUCAAGCCAUGGAAGCCGGGGGCGCUUGAAGUGCGUUGCCGCAAGGCGCGCCCUAGAGCGAAACCGGUGACUGGGGCU